rnacentral:rRNA from 1 species
GACAGAGGGUGCAAACGUUGUUCGGAAUUACUGGGCGUAAAGCGCGUGUAGGCUGCUCUGCAAGUCGGGUGUGAAAGCCCUGGGCUCAACCUAGGAAGUGCACUCGAAACUGCAAAGCUGGAGUCCUGGAGAGGAAGGCGGAAUUCUCGGUGUAGAGGUGAAAUUCGUAGAUAUCGAGAGGAACACCGGUGGCGAAGGCGGCCUUCUGGACCGAUAUUGACGCUGAGGAGCGAAAGCCAGGGGAGCAAACGGG